GUAGGUGGCAAGCGUUGUCCGGAAUUAUUGGGCGUAAAGCGCGCGCAGGCGGUUCUUUAAGUCUGAUGUGAAAGCCCACGGCUCAACCGUGGAGGGUCAUUGGAAACUGGAGAACUUGAGUACAGAAGAGGAAAGCGGAAUUCCACGUGUAGCGGUGAAAUGCGUAGAGAUGUGGAGGAACACCAGUGGCGAAGGCGGCUUUCUGGUCUGUAACUGACGCUGAGGCGCGAAAGCGUGGGGAGCAAACAGGAUUAGAUACCCUGGUAGUCCACGCCGUAAACGAUGAGUGCUAAGUGUUAGGGGGGUUUCCGCCCCCCUUAGUGCUGCAGUUAACGCAUUAAGCACUCCGCCUGGGGAGUACGGCCGCAAGGCUG
rnacentral:rRNA from 1 species